GAUGAACGCUAGCGGCAGGCUUAACACAUGCAAGUCGAGGGGUAUAGGAAGCUUGCUUCCUAGAGACCGGCGCACGGGUGCGUAACGCGUAUGCAACCUACCUUUUACAGGGGAAUAGCCCAGAGAAAUUUGGAUUAAUGCCCCAUGGUAUAAUUGAAUGGCAUCGUUUAAUUAUUAAAGUUCCAACGGUAAAAGAUGGGCAUGCGUCCUAUUAGCUAGAUGGUAAGGUAACGGCUUACCAUGGCGACGAUAGGUAGGGGUCCUGAGAGGGAGAUCCCCCACACUGGUACUGAGACACGGACCAGACUCCUACGGGAGGCAGCAGUGAGGAAUAUUGGACAAUGGGCGCAAGCCUGAUCCAGCCAUGCCGCGUGCAGGAAGAAGCAUCUAUGGUGUGUAAACUGCUUUUGUACAGGAAGAAACAUCCCGACGUGUCGGGACUUGACGGUACUGUAAGAAUAAGGAUCGGCUAACUCCGUGCCAGCCGCCGCAGUAAUAC
rnacentral:rRNA from 1 species